rnacentral:rRNA from 1 species
GGCGGGGGCACGGGGGGCCUACGGGAGGCAGCAGUGGGGAAUCUUGGACAAUGGGGGCAACCCUGAUCCAGCCAUGCCGCGUGAGUGAUGAAGGCCUUAGGGUCGUAAAGCUCUUUCGCCUGUGAAGAUAAUGACGGUAGCAGCUAAAGAAACCCCGGCUAACUCCGUGCCAGCAGCCGCGGUAAUACGGAGGGGGUUAGCGUUGUUCGGAAUUACUGGGCGUAAAGCGCACGUAGGCGGACCGGAAAGUCAGGGGUGAAAUCCCGGGGCUCAACCCCGGAACUGCCUCCAAAACUAUCAGUCUAGAGUUCGAGAGAGGUGAGUGGAAUUCCAAGUGUAGAGGUGAAAUUCGUAGAUAUUUGGAGGAACACCAGUGGCGAAGGCGGCUCACUGGCUCGAUACUGACGCUGAGGUACGAAAGUGUGGGGAGCAAACAGGAUUAGAUACCCUGGUAGUCCACACCGUAAACGAUGAAUGCCUAGUCUGUCGGGUAGCAUG